rnacentral:rRNA from 1 species
GAUGAACGCUGGCGGCGUGCCUAAUACAUGCAAGUCGAGCGAACGGACGAGAAGCUUGCUUCUCUGAUGUUAGCGGCGGACGGGUGAGUAACACGUGGAUAACCUACCUAUAAGACUGGGAUAACUUCGGGAAACCGGAGCUAAUACCGGAUAAUAUUUUGAACCGCAUGGCUCAAAAGUGAAAGACGGUCUUGCUGUCACUUAUAGAUGGAUCCGCGCUGCAUUAGCUAGUUGGUAAGGUAACGGCUUACCAAGGCAACGAUGCAUAGCCGACCUGAGAGGGUGAUCGGCCACACUGGAACUGAGACACGGUCCAGACUCCUACGGGAGGCAGCAGUAGGGAAUCUUCCGCAAAGGGCGAAAGCCUGACGGAGCAACGCCGCGUGAGUGAUGAAGGUCUUAGGAUCGUAAAACUCUGUUAUUAGGGAAGAACAUAUGUGUAAGUAACUGUGCACAUCUUGACGGUACCUAAUCAGAAAGCCACGGCUAACUACGUG